GUGCUUGCUUUGGCAGAACAUAUACUAAAAUUGGAAUGAUACAGAGAAGAUUAACAUGGCCCCUGUGCAAAGAUGACAUGCAAAUUUGUGAAGUGGUCCGCAUUAAA
ensembl:snRNA U6 U6 spliceosomal RNA